rnacentral:lncRNA from 1 species
GUCGCUGUAAGCAUUAAGAUUUGGCUAUGUUCUGUUCCAAUGUAACAGUUCUGUGGAGCUGCAGGAAGUUUUAUUUCUGUUGCACAUCUGCAGUAAAAACCAGGCAUUUGAAACCUGAGCCCCUUAAGGGCCCAGUUCUCAGAGAUAUUGAUCAUCUCCUACAACUUUUUGUCUGCUUUCAAUUCCCAUUGCAGUCAGCAGGAGACAAGGCUCUCAGCACCUUGCAGGAUCCAGCUCACAGAGGCUACUUUUGGAGAAGCUUGUCUGCCUAUGUAUUCAACUGGCUGGAUGAUCUCUCAUCAGAUGGCUCCAUAUGUUAUUGCACAACCCAGAUAUUUCUGCUGUCAACUGCAGGUAGUGGAUGA